GCAGAAGGAUCAUUAGUGAAGAUUUGGGCAGGCCAUACGGACGCCAAAAAGUGUCCCUGGCCGCCUACACCCACUAUACAUCCACAAACCCGUGUGCACUGUCUUGGAGAAAGGCUUCAGAGGAGUUUUUUGUGGCCUCUCUCGGGGUCUUUCUUCGCUACAAACUCGAAUGGUUAGUAUGAACGUGGAACUUGGUUGGACCGUCACUGGCCAACAAACUAUACACAACUUUCGACAACGGAUCUCUUGGUUCUCCCA
rnacentral:misc_RNA from 1 species